rnacentral:rRNA from 1 species
CAUUGAAACACUCGGUCCCAUACGAUCACCGAAGUUAAGCAACGUCGAGCCUGGUCAGUACCUAGAUGGUUGACUGCUUGAGAAUACCAGAUGCUGUA